UAGGGAAUCUUCGGCAAUGGACGAAAGUCUGACCGAGCAACGCCGCGUGAGUGAAGAAGGUUUUCGGAUCGUAAAACUCUGUUGUUAGAGAAGAACAAGGACGUUAGUAACUGAACGUCCCCUGACGGUAUCUAACCAGAAAGCCACGGCUAACUACGUGCCAGCAGCCGCGGUAAUACGUAGGUGGCAAGCGUUGUCCGGAUUUAUUGGGCGUAAAGCGAGCGCAGGCGGUUUCUUAAGUCUGAUGUGAAAGCCCCCGGCUCAACCGGGGAGGGUCAUUGGAAGCUGGGAGACUUGAGUGCAGAAGAGGGGAGUGGAAUUCCAUGUGUAGCGGUGAAAUGCGUAGAUAUAUGGAGGAACACCAGUGGCGAAGGCGGCUCUCUGGUCUGUAACUGACACUGAGGCUCGAAAGCGUGGGGAGCAAACAGG
rnacentral:rRNA from 1 species